CGUGGUUAGUGUGCUGGGAAGUUGUUUCAACAUGUAACUGUUUUGAACACAGUAACUUCCCCAUAUGUCCCUGCCAUGGGUGGUAGCCCAGGAGCCUCUCGAUGGCCGGUCAGAGACCACUGAGCCUGGCCAACUGGGUACUGUCAACAUCCCUAAGACAGAGAUAGUGUGUUGCUCGUGGCAGCCUGGCCCCUGAAGCUGGCCUGUUGCUGGGUUGGGGAGCAUUCUCUACAUGCCAAGCACAGAAGCUGGGGACCCCACAUGGAGCAGCCUUGCUUCAAAAUGAAGCCAGUAGGGAGGAAAGCAGAGCCCAAUCCCCAGGGAGAAGACCUGUGGAAAACCCUCGUGCCUAGAAGGAUUCAGGGUCUUCACGGUGUGGCAGGGGAAGGGACAGGCGGAGAGGACCCAUCAACCCGAGUUU